rnacentral:rRNA from 1 species
AGAGUUUGAUCAUGGCUCAGGACGAACGCUGGCGGCGUGCAUAACACAUGCAAGUCACGGGGGCCAGUAGCAAUACUGGCAACCGGCGAACGGGUGCGUAACACGUAAGCGACCUACCUCGAUGUGGGGCAUAGCCGGCCUAACGGCCGGGUAAUUCCGCAUGUGAUCCUUGAGGGGCAUAUCUCGGGGAUGAAACCAGUAAUGGGCAUUGAGAGGGGCUUGCGGCCUAUCAGCUUGUUGGCGGGGUAACGGCUCACCAAGGCGACGACGGGUAGCUGGUCUGAGAGGAUGGCCAGCCACAUUGGGACUGAGAAACGGCCCAGACUCCUACGGGAGGCAGCAGUGGGGAAUCUUGCGCAAUGGCCUAACGGCUGACGCAGCGACGCCGCGUGAGGGAUGAAGCUCUUCGGAGUGUAAACCUCUGUUGCCCGGGACGAAUAGCGGAUUUUUCCGACUUGACGGUACCGGGUGAGGAAGCACCGGCUAACUCCGUGCCAGCAGCCGCGGUAAUACGGGGGGUGCGAGCGUUGUCCGGAAUCACUGGGCGUAAAGGGCGCGUAGGUGGCUUUGUAAGUUUGCGGUGAAAGCCCGGGGCUCAACCCCGGGUCUGCCGUGGAUACUGCAAGGCUUGAGUAGUGUAGAGGCAGGUAGAAUAUCGGGUGUAGCGGUGGAAUGCGUAGAGAUCCGAUAGAAGACCGGUGGCGAAGGCGGCCUGCUGGGCACUAACUGACACUGAGGCGCGACAGCGUGGGGAGCAAACAGGAUUAGAUACCCUGGUAGUCCACGCCGUAAACGAUGGGUACUAGGUGCUUGGGGGAGCGACCCCUUGAGUGCCGGCGCUAACGCAGGAAGUACCCCGCCUGGGGAGUACGGCCGCAAGGCUGAAACUCAAAGGAAUUGACGGGGGCCCGCACAAGCGGUGGAGCAUGUGGUUUAAUUCGACGCAACGCGAAGAACCUUACCCAGGCUUGACAUGCACAGGAAGUAUGGCAGAAACGCCAUGCGCUCUUCGGAGUCUGUGCACAGGUGCUGCAUGGCUGUCGUCAGCUCGUGUCGUGAGAUGUUGGGUUAAGUCCCGCAACGAGCGCAACCCCCGUUCCUAGUUGCCAGCGAGUAAUGUCGGGGACUCUAGGAAGACUGCCGGUGCGAAACCGGAGGAAGGUGGGGAUGACGUCAAGUCAUCAUGGUCCUUACGUCUGGGGCUACACACGUGCUACAAUGGAUGCGGCAGUAGGGACCAACCCCGCAAGGGUGAGGCAAUCCUCAAACGCACCCUCAGUUCGGAUUGUGGGCUGCAACUCGCCCACAUGAAGCUGGAAUCGCUAGUAAUCGUGGAUCAGCUACGCCACGGUGAAUACGUUCCCGGGCCUUGUACACACCGCCCGUCACGCCAUGGAAGUUGUGAGCGCCCGAAGUCCGUGUCGGAUCCCUGAGCAAUCGGGGGCCAAGCGGCCGAAGGCGAGCGCGAUGACUGGGGCGAAGUCGUAACAAAGGUAACCAA